UUGACCUCGGAUCAGGUAGGGAUACCCGCUGAACUUAAGCAUAUCAAUAAGCGGAGGAAAAGAAACCAACAGGGAUUGCCCUAGUAACGGCGAGUGAAGCGGCAACAGCUCAAAUUUGAAAUCUGGCCCUUUUAGGGUCCGAGUUGUAAUUUGCAGAGGGUGCUUUGGCGUUGGCUGCGGUCUAAGUUCCUUGGAACAGGACGUCACAGAGGGUGAGAAUCCCGUACGUGGCUGCAUGCCUUGGCCGUGUAAAGUCCCUUCGACGAGUCGAGUUGUUUGGGAAUGCAGCUCUAAAUGGGAGGUAAAUUUCUUCUAAAGCUAAAUACUGGCCAGAGACCGAUAGCGCACAAGUAGAGUGAUCGAAAGAUGAAAAGCACUUUGGAAAGAGAGUCAAACAGCACGUGAAAUUGUUGAAAGGGAAGCGCUUGCAGCCAGACUUGCCUGCAGUUGCUCACCCGGGCUCCUGCCCGGGGCACUCUUCUGUAGGCAGGCCAGCAUCAGUCCGGGCGGUCGGAAAAUGGCCUCUAUCACGUAUCUUCCCUCGGGAAGACCUUAUAGUGGAGGCGUAAUGCGUCCAGCCUGGACUGAGGUCCGCGCAUCUGCUAGGAUGCUGGCGUAAUGGCUGUAAGCGGCCCGUCUUGAAACACGGACC
rnacentral:rRNA from 1 species